GAUGAACGCUGGCGGCGUGCCUAACACAUGCAAGUCGAGCGAACAGACCAGGCGCUUGCUCCUCUGACGUUAGCGGCGGACGGGUGAGUAACAUGUGGAUAACCUACCUAUCCGACUGGGAUAAUUUCGGGAAACCGGAGCUAAUCCCGGAUAAUCUAUUGAACCGCAUUGUUCAAUAGUGAAAUACGGUUUUUCUGUCACUUAUAGCUGGAUACGCGCCGGUGUAGCUAGUUGGUACGGUAACGGCUUACCAAGGCAACGAUGCGUAGCCGACCUGAGAGGGGGAUCGGCCACACUGGAACUGAGACGCGAUACAGACACCUACGGGAGGCAGCAGUAGGUAAUCUUGCGCAAUGGGCGAAAGCUUGACGGAGCAACGGCGCGUGGGUGAUGAAGGUCUGCGGAUCGUAAAACGCUGUUAGUAGGGAAGAACAAAUGUGUAAGUAACUAUGCACGUCUGGACGGAACCUAAUCAGAAAGCCACGCCUAACUACUU
rnacentral:rRNA from 1 species